rnacentral:rRNA from 1 species
AACAGUAUUAGAUACCCUGGUAGUCCACGCCGUAAACGAUGAGUGCUAAGUGUUAGGGGGUUUCCGCCCCUUAGUGCUGCAGCUAACGCAUUAAGCACUCCGCCUGGGGAGUACGGCCGCAAGGCUGAAACUCAAAGGAAUUGACGGGGGCCCGCACAAGCGGUGGAGCAUGUGGUUUAAUUCGAAGCAACGCGAAGAACCUUACCAGGUCUUGACAUCCCGCUGACCGCCCUGGAGACAGGGCUUUCCCUUCGGGGACAGCGGUGACAGGUGGUGCAUGGUUGUCGUCAGCUCGUGUCGUGAGAUGUUGGGUUAAGUCCCGCAACGAGCGCAACCCUUGAUCUUAGUUGCCAGCAUUCGGUUGGGCACUCUAAGGUGACUGCCGGUGACAAACCGGAGGAAGGUGGGGAUGACGUCAAAUCAUCAUGCCCCUUAUGACCUGGGCUACACACGUGCUACAAUGGACGGUACAAAGGGCAGCCAACCCGCGAGGGGGAGCCAAUCCCAGAAAACCGUUCUCAGUUCGGAUUGCAGGCUGCAACUCGCCUGCAUGAAGCCGGAAUCGCUAGUAAUCGUGGAUCAGCAUGCCACGGUGAAUACGUUCCCGGGCCUUGUACACACCGCCCGUCACACCACGAGAGUUUGUAACACCCGAAGUCGGUGAGGUAACCAUUCGUGGAGCCAGCCGCCGAAAGUGGGACGGAUGAUUGGGGUGAAGUCGUAACAAGGUAACC